rnacentral:rRNA from 1 species
UAUCAAAAACAUCUCUCUUUGUUAAUAAUAAAUAAGGAGUUGGGCCUGCUCGGUGAAUAUUUUUAACAGCUGCGGUAUUUUAACUGUACUAAGGUAGCAUAAUAAUUUGCCUUAUAAUUUGAGGCUAGAAUGAAUGGUUUGACGAAGGUUAAUCUGUCUCCAUUUUAUUUUUUAGAAAUUAAUUUUCAUAGUGAAAAAGCUUGAAUUUUUUAAAGGGACGAGAAGACCCUAUUGAGCUUAUAAUUUUAUUACUAUUAUGGUUAUUGAAUUUAUCAUUGUAGUAUAUAAAUUUUAAUUGGGGUGAUUAAGGAAUAAAUUUUUAUAAUGUAACUUCCUUAGAUUAUUAUAUUGUUAAAUUAGGUAACCGAUGUGAUUAGCACAAUGUGUGUUAUGUAUUGCUUAUAAUAUAGUUACCAUAGGGAUAACAGCGUAAUUUACUUAGAGAGUUCUUAUUGAAAAGUAAGAUUGCGACCUCGAUGUUGGAUUAAAGUAACCUUAAGGUGCAGAAGCUUUAUAAGGUAAAUCUGUUCGAUUUUUAAAACUUU